CCUACGGGUGGCAGCAGUGGGGAAUAUUGGGCAAUGGGCGCAAGCCUGACCCAGCAACGCCGCGUGAAGGAAGAAGGCUUUCGGGUUGUAAACUUCUUUUCUCAGGGACGAAGCAUGAGACGGUACCUGAGGAAUAAGCCACGGCUAACUACGUGCCUGCAGCCACGGCAAUACGUCGGUGGCAAGCUUUAUCCGGAUUUAAUGGGUGUAAAGGGCGUGUGGGCGGGGACGGAAGUCAGAUGUGAAAACCACGGGCUCAAACUGUGGCCGGCAGUUGAAACUGUGUUUCUUGAGUACUGGAGAGGCAGACGGAAUUCCUAGUGUAGCGGUGAAAUGCGUAGAUAUUAGGAAGAACACCAGUGGCGAAGGCGGUCUGCUGGACCGCAACUGACGCUGAGGCGCGAAAGCGUGGGGAGCAAACAGGAUUAGAUACCCUUGUAGUC
rnacentral:rRNA from 1 species